rnacentral:rRNA from 1 species
UAUUGGACAAUGGGGGCAACCCUGAUCCAGCCAUGCCGCGUGUGUGAAGAAGGCCUUCUGGUUGUAAAGCACUUUUAGCAGUGAAGAAGAUUCCGUGGUUAAUACCCAUGUACGAUGACAUUAGCUGCAGAAUAAGCACCGGCUAACUCUUUGCCAGCAGCCGCGGUAAUACAGAGGGUGCAAGCGUUAAUCGGAUUUACUUGGCGUAAAGCGAGCGUAGGUGGCUUGAUAAGUCAGAUGUGAAAUCCCCGGGCUUAACCUGGGAACUGCAUCUGAUACUGUUAGGCUAGAAUAGGUGAGAGGAAGGUAGAAUUCCAGGUGUAGCGGUGAAAUGCGUAGAGAUCUGGAGGAAUACCGAUGGCGAAGGCAGCCUUCUGGCAUCAUAUUGACACUGAGGUUCGAAAGCGUGGGUAGCAAACAG